GGGCCCGUUGCCUAGUAUGGACCAGAUGGAAUUUUUCCCGUCUGGGUACAAAUAGGGCGCUAGCCUUCUAAGUUAGAGGUCGCCGGUUCAAAUCCGGCCGGGCCCG
rnacentral:tRNA from 1 species